CCCCCAUAAACUGGUUUCAAGCCAGCCACAUAGCCACUCUGUCAUUUUCUUCAU
rnacentral:tRNA from 1 species